CGGCGGAGCGCGAGGGGAGCUGCUUCCGUGUCCGCCCGGUCCCGCGGCGCCUGCGAAACGACAUCCCUGGGUGGUCAGACAGCCGUGGUCAAGAAUGUGGACAUGCCUAAAGAAAUGCAGCAAGAUGUUGUGGAGUGUGUCAUUCAGUCUCUGGAGGAACACAACGUCAAGCAUGAUACUGCAGCUCAUAUAAAAAGAUAAGCGUUUGCUCAUAAUGUCUUCCUACUGAAUGCUAUAUGGACUUCAAAAAUUAAGCAAAAAUGUUGGUGGGAGUUUGACAGAAAAUAUAAUCCUACCUGGCAGUGCACUGUGGGAAGGAAUUUUGUGACUCAGAAGACCAGUCACUUCAUCCUCGUAUGCCUGGGUCCUGUUACUGUUCUCAUCAAGGGUGCUUAGAGCUAUGGACUGUUUCUCAAACUCUCAUCUCAUUAGUCAAUUGUGUGCUAAUGGCACAAGCCUGGUGCCUUCAGCCUUCCUGAGGGAGCACAGCUUGGCCUUGAAGGGUAAUGGCAGGGAUUUUGCUGGCAUGGUUGAUGUUUUUUAUUGUAGUUGGGGGAAAAAUAGCAAAAAACAAAACCAAAAACCUUCCUUGUAUUUAUUUUCUUUCCACAGCCAGCUUCUUUGCUAA